AUUGAACGCUGGCAGCAGGGGCCUUCAACACAUGCAAGUCGAGCUUAUGAAGGGAGCUUGCCUUGGAUUCAGCGGCGGACGGGUGAGUAAUGCCUAGGAAUCUGCCUGGUAGUGGGGGAUAACGUCCGGAAACGGCCGCUAAUACCGCAUACGUCCUGAGGGAGAAAGUCGGGGAUCUUCGGACCUCACGCUAUCAGAUGAGCCUAGGUCGGAUUAGCUAGUUGGUGGGGUAAAGGCCUACCAAGGCGACGAUCCGUAACUGGUCUGAGAGGAUGAUCAGUCACACUGGAACUGAGACACGGUCCAGACUCCUACGGGAGGCAGCAGUGGGGAAUAUUGGACAAUGGGCGCAAGCCUGAUCCAGCCAUGCCGCGUGUGUGAAGAAGGUCUUCGGAUUGUAAAGCACUUUAAGUUGGGAGGAAGGGCAGUAAGUUAAUACCUUGCUGUUUGACGUUACCAACAGAAUAAGCACCGGCUAACUUCGUGCCAGCAGCCGCGGUAAUACGAAGGGUGCAAGCGUUAAUCGGAAUUACUGGGCGUAAAGCGCGCGUAAGUGGUUCAGCAAGCUUGAUGUGAAAUCCCCGGGCUCAACCUGGGAACUGCAUCCAAAAGCUACUGAGCUAGAGUACGGUAGAGGUGG
rnacentral:rRNA from 1 species